UACGUAGGUGGCAAGCGUUGCCAGGAAUUAUUGGGCGUAAAGCACGCGCAGGUGGUUACUUAAGUCUGAUGUGAAAGCCCACGGCUCAACCGUGGUGGGUCACUAGAAACUGGGGAACUUGAGUGCAGAAGAGGAAAGUGGAAUUCCACGUGUAGCGGUGAAAUGCGUAGAGAUGUGGAGGAACACCAGGGGCGAAGGCGACUUUCUGGUCUGUAACUGACACUGAGGCGCGAAAGCGUGGGGAGCGAACAGG
rnacentral:misc_RNA from 1 species